UACGUAGGGUGCGAGCGUUGUCCGGAAUUAUUGGGCGUAAAGGGCUCGUAGGCGGUUUGUCGCGUCGGGAGUGAAAGCCUUGGGCUUAACUCAGGGCUUGCUUUCGAUACGGGCAGACUAGAGGUAUGCAGGGGAGAACGGAAUUCCUGGUGUAGCGGUGAAAUGCGCAGAUAUCAGGAGGAACACCGGUGGCGAAGGCGGCGUCCUGGACCAACACUGACACUGAUGAGCGAAAGCCAGGGGAGCAAACGGG
rnacentral:rRNA from 1 species